rnacentral:misc_RNA from 1 species
AUUGCUAUCAUAAUUCUUCAAUACCUAUCCGCCAAUAUGUUAAAGUUCUUAGAAAAUUUGAGGAAAUAUCUGACCAUAGCUCGUAUUUUAUUAAUAAUUGUAACAGCCAAUAGUAAGAGAGAUCGUCUUAACUAAUUCUGAUUAUUAACCCAGUAGUAAUCGACUAAACCUAAUUUGACUUGCAUGAUAUAAAGCUCAUUCAUUUCAUUUUAGAAAACUAACAAUGAUGGUACACCAAACUAUUGCUGAAUAUAGGCCGAUAUUCUGCAAAUAAUUCUUCACAUAGUAUCGUAUGAUCACAGGUGCAGAGAACAUUUCUCUCAUCACUAGACCUCAGAUGAGAUUAGUCGGACUAAAGAAAACAAUUAGAUCCUGACGGGGGCCCUCUAAACAGUUUACGUCACCAAAUUUUCAAUGUUUAAUGUCAUGGGGGCAAUCAACUUCAAAAUGCUUUGAAAAAAAAAAAAAUUCAACUUCAAAAUGACUGGCAACGGUCCCUUUCCCCACAAUUAUGAUGGUAUCUAGAUCCAGAAGUUACAUAUUCCUAUUCCACAUUAGCUGUAGGGUCGUCUUUGUUACCCAAUAUCAUAAAUUUGUUUUGACUCAAAAUGAUUACUCGGUUGACAAUGCUGGCUUUCAAAUUUAGAAAUCUUAUCUGACGAAAGGUUGUUCAUGAGGAUGAGGAAUUGGUACUGGAUAGGCCUAUUAAAUGAGUAGGUACGGCCAGGUUUGGGUUAGGCUCAAUUGGGCCUAGACUUUGCUCAUUGACCAAGCUUUAAGCUUAGCUGAAUAAAAUCGAUUGCCCCAGAAAUUUAUUGGGUUGGGUCAGCUCCAAAAUCGAUAUCCCAGGACAGGCCCAUUUUGAAAGUGAGCUUGAUAGUGCAUAUUGGGCCAGGAAAGCAAGCAGGCAUCCCAGGCCCGUGAACACUGACUUUAAUAUCAAGACCAUACCUAGCAAAGGCUAGCUAAACAUUUGUGUCGAAAAUUUUUAUUCCUUUUGGAAUGUUCAGGCGAGGAAUGGGGAUGCCUACUAAGAGGCUUUACACUAGGCAUAAGAGCACCAUUACCUUAUACUGAUAUUUGAUAUCUAUAAGCUAUAAAAGGAGCCCUAAGAAUUCAAACUCUAGACCAUCAAGUCAGAGAUCUUGAUGCUAUAUCAGAGAACUACUCGGCUUGAAAAUUCAAAUUUACAGGUGAAAUUCCAAAAAAAAUUCUAUCUCUAAUACAAUAAAGCCCCUUUACCAACCAAGGGCCUUGGUGUUAGUGACAACAGAACUGUCUAUCCCUUGCAGAUAGAAACAACAAUUAAAAUCCAUCAUAUAAUCAAAUCCCUUUGCUGGCAUGUCCUUACUUUAAACAUCAUUAUUCUUACUCGUACUUGCUUAAGCAGUAUUUUCACUUUAGGAUCCCGCGUUUAAUAAUGCACUUAUGAACAUAUAAAUGCAUGAACAGUUCCACAAAACAUAUAAGGGGGCGUAUAAUUCAGCAAAAUCAUAUAGUUCUGUGUGCAUAAUGCUCAAAUUAGACGGCAUACAUGCAUAGAAGCAUUGCAGCAACGAUACUGGCCUAGAAAAUAAUAGGGUAUCUAAUAAUCAGAAAUUUUUACCUUGAAGCUCUAUGCGUUGGGCAAUCAAAUUCACAGCAGCAUUUGCCGAGGAAAAUGCCCCAUGAAAGCUUUCUUGAUAGGAAAUGGAUUCCAAUUCUCUAGCCAUCUUCAACAAAAUUUCACCCAGGUCCGUCCGUUUCCCUACCAAAGAGUCGUAGUAUGACUGGGCAGCAACCUUACUGAUUUCCACGUUCGUUUCCUCAGGGCAGUACUCAUCAUCCAGCCAUUUGUGCAGCGUCACCCUAAGCCACUCUGAUUCCUGGAGAGCCUUGGAAGGGAGCAACCAAUUGUCGGGAACACGUAGGUCUUGAACUUGCGCUUCGGGGUCAUCUUUAUCGUCUUCUUGGCUGCUUUGUGGAUGUGAAGGAGACUGAUAUCUGAAAAUGGUGGUCGAAAAUUGGGGUUGUUUGGGAGGCCGAAUCGGUUUUGAAUUAGAGGUGACAGGGAAAUGAAGCUCAACUAUAACAAUUGGGGGACUAAGACGGGUAAUUGAGGAAGGCAAGAUAAGAUUGUGGCAUUUUGAGGUUGAUAGUCGGCAUAGGUUCAUGGUUUCGAAUUUUAUUAUCCUUUGGCGGUGGCGGGAAGGCGAAAUGAGAGCAUUCAGUAUUCCAAAUUUUAGGUGGAGACUGCAA